rnacentral:rRNA from 1 species
AUUGCAAGUCGAGCGGACAGAAGGGAGCUUGCUCCCGGAUGUUAGCGGCGGACGGGUGAGUAACACGUGGGUAACCUGCCUGUAAGACUGGGAUAACUCCGGGAAACCGGAGCUAAUACCGGAUAGUUCCUUGAACCGCAUGGUUCAAGGAUGAAAGACGGUUUCGGCUGUCACUUACAGAUGGACCCGCGGCGCAUUAGCUAGUUGGUGAGGUAACGGCUCACCAAGGCGACGAUGCGUAGCCGACCUGAGAGGGUGAUCGGCCACACUGGGACUGAGACACGGCCCAGACUCCUACGGGAGGCAGCAGUAGGGAAUCUUCCGCAAUGGACGAAAGUCUGACGGAGCAACGCCGCGUGAGUGAUGAAGGUUUUCGGAUCGUAAAGCUCUGUUGUUAGGGAAGAACAAGUGCAAGAGUAACUGCUUGCACCUUGACGGUACCUAACCAGAAAGCCACGGCUAACUACGUGCCAGCAGCCGCGGUAAUACGUAGGUGGCAAGCGUUGUCCGGAAUUAUUGGGCGUAAAGGGCUCGCAGGCGGUUUCUUAAGUCUGAUGUGAAAGCCCCCGGCUCAACCGGGGAGGGUCAUUGGAAACUGGGAAACUUGAGUGCAGAAGAGGAGAGUGGAAUUCCACGUGUAGCGGUGAAAUGCGUAGAGAUGUGGAGGAACACCAGUGGCGAAGGCGACUCUCUGGUCUGUAACUGACGCUGAAGAGCGAAAGCGUGGGGAG